GCCUUGGGUUCCGAUAUCCUCCGUCAAUUCCUCGGUCUCCGGUACUUAUCCAAUGAGAGGCUCCGUCACCGGGGUGGUUCAAAUUGAACACCGAUGAAGCAUCAAUGGGAAAUCCCGGGCUAGCGGAAGCCGCCGGUGCUAUUCGAGAUUUAUUUAGGACGGUCGUCUUAGCCUUUCAGUUGCCGAUCCCCUUGGCGACAAACACAUUUGCGAACAUUGGACUUUGCAAGAGUGCUUCCUCCGACUUCGAUUGCGAUUGCGUGGCAUCACUUGGCGGAUCUCCCACAUCUAUCGGGAGGGAAACUGAGUGGCAGAUGCACUGUGGACAAAGGCGUGUUCUAUUUCACAUGAUCGGAUACUUAGCUUCUCCGGGCGGAUGCGGCUGGUAUUCCGAGUUUCAGAUUUCGGUGCUAGCAAGAAGAGCAAAAAAAAAAAGAUGUCGAGUAUGUUUCGUAAUGAAGACAUUGGGAAACGAAAUGAUCUUCAGGGAUCUGUUAAAGUACCAUCGCUAGUGAUCCCCGUGGACAAUAAUGUAGGUGCGGGACCUUCGAACACUACCUCGUCCUUGAGGUUCGGUGAACAACAAGAGCUGGUAGGGCCCUUUGCGAAUGAUCUAAAGCGUUCACUUAGGGCCAAGAAGGCCAAAGCUGCGAAAAGGACAAAUAAUCAACGACAGAGACGAAUACAAAAGAGUAAGAUUGAUUGUUCAAGCAACAAAAGAUGGUCAAAAUUUAAGGCAGAAGACCGCAAAAGAGAUUUGUAAAGAGAAGAAGAGUAUGAGCAUUCAAUAAAGAUUAACAAAGAGUAUGCAAAUAUAGCAAAAGAGGUUGCAGACAUUAACGAACGGUUAAUGAAGGCUGAAGCGAGGUUGGAGGAAUUGGAUAAGGACAAUCUGGACACUUUUUUGUAAGAGACGCAAUAUGAAAUACGGAAGGAACAAGUGCAACAUUACACACGCGCCCUCACAAGGUUGAGAGCAACACUACAAUCUAUUCAUGAGACAAGUCCUACCAAAGCGGAUAUGGCACAUGCAAGCGGUAGACGCAAUGCCAAUAGGAAGUGACUUUUCAACGACACGAGUGGAUCAGAAUGUUCUCCUGAAAAAUGAAACAUCCAUAAUGUUUGCGUAUGCAAGCCAUUUUUCAUUUGUGCUAUGUGUUUGAUCAAGGAUUGUGAUACCCCGUACUUUGUCUCUUUUUCCUUUGAACUAUUGCAAUAUUUAAUUUUAAUGGAAAAUAUG